AGAGUUUGAUUAUGGCUCAGGACGAACGCUGGCGGCGCGCUUAACACAUGCAAGUCGAACGGACUAAGAUUUGAGCUUGCUUAAUUCUUAGUUAGUGGCGGACGGGUGAGUAACACGUGAACAACCUGUCCCUAAGCCCGGGACAACAGCUCGAAAGGGUUGCUAAUACCGGAUGAGUUUAUGAAUGCGCAUGCAUUUAUAAACAAAGGGUUACCGCUUAGGGAGGGGUUCGCGGCCCAUCAGCUAGUUGGUGAGGUAACGGCUCACCAAGGCAACGACGGGUAGCCGGCCUGAGAGGGUGGUCGGCCACACUGGGACUGAGACACGGCCCAGACUCCUACGGGAGGCAGCAGUGGGGAAUCUUCCGCAAUGGGCGAAAGCCUGACGGAGCGACGCCGCGUGGGUGAAGAAGGCCUUCGGGUCGUAAAGCCCUGUCUAGGGGGACGAUAAUGACGGUACCCCUAGAGGAAGCCCCGGCUAACUACGUGCCAGCAGCAGC
rnacentral:rRNA from 1 species